rnacentral:rRNA from 1 species
CACCAGCCCCUCGAGUGGUGGGGAUGAUUAUUUGGCCUAAAGCGUCCGUAGCCGGCCGGGUAAGUUUCCCGUUAAAUCCAAUGUCUCAAGCAUUGGACUGCGGGAAAUACUGCCUGGCUAGAGAGUGGGAGAGGUGUACGGUAUUCUGGGGGUAGGGGCGAAAUCCUUUGAUCCCCGGAGGACCACCAGUGGCGAAGGCUGUACACUAGAACACGUCUGACGGCCAGGGACGAAAGCUGGGGUAGCGAACCGGAUUAGAUACCCGGGUAGUCCCAGCUGUAAACGAUGCAUGCUAGGUGUUGGGUUGGCCACGAGCCACCCCAGUGCCGCAGGGAAGCCGCUAAGCAUGCCGCCUGGGAAGUACGAUCGCAAGAUUGAAACUUAAAGGAAUUGGCGGGGGAGCACCACCAGGCGUGAAGCCUGCGGUUU